UACGUAGGCAGCGAGCGUUGUUCGGAGUUACUGGGCGUAAAGGGUGUGUAGGCGGUUUUCUAAGUUUGGUGUGAAAUCUCCCGGCUCAACCGGGAGGGUGCGCCGAAAACUGGGAGACUAGAGUGCGGGAUGGGAGAGUAGAAUUCCUGGUGUAGCGGUGAAAUACGUAGAUAUCAGGAGGAAUACCGGUGGUGUAGACGGCUCUCUGGACCGCCACUGACGCUGAGACACGAAAGCGUGGGUAGCAAACAGG
rnacentral:rRNA from 1 species